rnacentral:rRNA from 1 species
GAUGAACGCUGGCGGCGUGCCUAAUACAUGCAAGUCGAGCGAAUCUAAGGGAGCUUGCUCCCAAAGAUUAGCGGCGGACGGGUGAGUAACACGUGGGCAACCUACCUGUAAGACUGGGAUAACUUCGGGAAACCGGAGCUAAUACCGGAUAACAUAUGAGACCACAUGGACUCAUAUUAAAAGAUGGCUUCUCGCUAUCACUUACGGAUGGGCCCGCGGCGCAUUAGCUAGUUGGUGAGGUAACGGCUCACCAAGGCAACGAUGCGUAGCCGACCUGAGAGGGUGAUCGGCCACACUGGGACUGAGACACGGCCCAGACUCCUACGGGAGGCAGCAGUAGGGAAUCUUCCGCAAUGGACGAAAGUCUGACGGAGCAACGCCGCGUGAGCGAAGAAGGUCUUCGGAUCGUAAAGCUCUGUUGUUAGGGAAGAACAAGUAUCGUUCGAAUAGGGCGGUACCUUGACGGUACCUAACCAGAAAGCCACGGCUAACUACGUGCCAGCAGCCGCGGUAAUACGUAGGUGGCAAGCGUUAUCCGGAAUUAUUGGGCGUAAAGCGCGCGCAGGCGGUCCUUUAAGUCUGAUGUGAAAGCCCACGGCUCAACCGUGGAGGGUCAUUGGAAACUGGGGGACUUGAGUGCAGAAGAGGAGAGCGGAAUUCCACGUGUAGCGGUGAAAUGCGUAGAGAUGUGGAGGAACACCAGUGGCGAAGGCGGCUCUCUGGUCUGUAACUGACGCUGAGGCGCGAAAGCGUGGGGAGCGAACAGGAUUAGAUACCCUGGUAGUCCACGCCGUAAACGAUGAGUGCUAAGUGUUAGAGGGUUUCCGCCCUUUAGUGCUGAAGUCAACGCAUUAAGCACUCCGCCUGGGGAGUACGGUCGCAAGACUGAAACUCAAAGGAAUUGACGGGGGCCCGCACA